rnacentral:rRNA from 1 species
UACGAAGGGGGCUAGCGUUGUUCGGAAUUACUGGGCGUAAAGCGUGCGCAGGCGGCUUCUCAAGUCAGGGGUGAAAGCCCAGAGCUCAACUCUGGAAUUGCCUUUGAGACUGAGUGGCUUGAGUACGGGAGAGGUGAGUGGAACUGCGAGUGUAGAGGUGAAAUUCGUAGAUAUUCGCAAGAACACCAGUGGCGAAGGCGGCUCACUGGUCCGGAUCUGACGCUGAGGCGCGAAAGCGUGGGGAGCAAACAGG